GACGAACGCUGGCGGCGUGCCUAAUACAUGCAAGUAGGACGCAGUUGCGAACGGGUGAGUAACGCGUAGGUAACUACCUAUUAGAGGGGGCUAACUAUUGGAAACGAUAGUUAAUACCGCAUACUAGUAGAUGGACCUGCGUUGUAUUAGCUAGUCGGUAGGGUAAUGGCCUACCUAGGCAACGAUACAUAGCCGACCUGAGAGUGUGAUCGGCCACACUGGGACGGAGAACAGGCCCAGAAUCCUACGGGAUGCAGCAGUAGGGAUUAUACGUCAAUGGUGGGAAGCCGUACCGAGCAACGCCGCGGGAGAGAAGAAGGUUUUAGGAUCGAAAAGCUUUGUGGUUAAGGAAGCGGUACUUAACCGGGAAGGGAAGGCAAACUACGUACCAGCCGCCGCGGUAAUAC
rnacentral:rRNA from 1 species